AAAUAAUGCAUGUAUCAACACACACUCUCACAAAAUGAAAUCCAAUGGUUUUACUUUGAUCUUCAUUGUUUUGUUUUCACUUGUCCUUAUUUCUUCUUCUGGGAGAAUCCAUCAUGUGAUGGCCAUUCGUUCACCAAACGGUCCAAACCAGAAACCAAAAGGAGAGGCAAAAGUUGAAGAAGAAAAGGUUGCACAUACGGAUAGUACGUGGGGUGGAUGUUAUGGUUGCUGGCCGCAUCAUAACAAUCGUCGUCUUUGAUAAACUCGAUCUAUGGUUUUGUCGAUCCAUCUGUGUUAGCUAUGCUAUGCAUGUACUGACAAUAAUUUGAAUAAAGUAUGAAAUAAAUUUCGAUUGGUGUUCUUAAAAAUAUUAUGGAA